rnacentral:lncRNA from 1 species
AUGAAAACAUGUGAUCGCCAGGUGUACUCCCAGGUAUCCAGGAUUGUUUUUCUCUUGCUCAUCAGGAACAUGGUAAGACUUUCCAUUUGGUCAGAUCUUAGAAUACUUAUUUUAGUUAACAUUUCAUCACCGAAAAAUAUUGUUCUCAAUAUAUUUAUUACUAAAUAUCUUUUGGGUUUUGUCACUAUCAAAAAGAGAUUUUCCUCCUAUUUUUUUUUUUAUUGGUAGUGAUUGCUUGAAUAGAGAAAGCUAUUGGGUGUUGUAUAUUUAUGUCAGGUUUUUCUACCUUAGCAAAGUCUUUUAUUUAUUUUGUUUUUGAAAAUUUUUUAUCUUAGAUUUUUUAUCCUUUAAUUAGGAUCAUUUCAUCUUUUCCAGUGCU